AAGUCGUAACAAGGUUUCCGUAGGUGAACCUGCGGAAGGAUCAUUACCACAACCAUCGGGCGUUGCAAGAACCCUCGCUUGGGGGUCACGCCACCGAUCACCCUUUGUCUACUCUACCGCCCGUUAUUUCCUCGGCAGGCUUGCCUGCCGCCAGGAAACACGCAAACCCUUGCAUGCAAGUAUCUAAACCUCUGAUAACAACCUAACUAUUUACAA
rnacentral:misc_RNA from 1 species